rnacentral:misc_RNA from 1 species
UUUUUUUUUUUUUUUUUAAAAGGUUUCCUUCCACCAGGCCAAUUAGAUUUUACAACUACGCAGAGAAAAAUCUUCAAUAUCCAUCCCUCGAGUCCAUAGAGCCUGUUGAUCGGCUUCGAUCAGAUCUCACAGGUGAACGGGAUCGAGAUCCAUAGCUUUUGCUUCUACCACGUUUGGUUGGGCUUCUACCUGCUCGUUUGCUGGAAGGAGAUGCAAGAGGAGAUCUUGAUCUUGACCUUGAUCUAUAAGAUCCAGGAGAUGACCCUGCCUGAGAAUGUGAAGAAACAGAUAAAGAUCGAGAUCGGCGAGAAUAUUUAACCCUAGGAGAUCUGCUCCUCUCGCUAUAGCUACGACUACGACUAUAGCUUUGGCUUCGGCUUCGGCUUAGGCUCCUGCUUCGGCCAUAUGGGCUACGACUGGGACUCCUAGAGUAGCUCCUCCUUGAACCAUACUCCCUUACCCGUACAUAAGACCGAGAAAAUGCAUUUCGAAACUCUGAGUCGUCAAGUUUCUUGAUAGCGCGUUUCAUAUCAUCAUAGUUUGUAUAAUCUACAAUUCCAGUCAUACCACCACGAUCACGAAAGACCUGAGAAAAGCAAACAUCCCCAGCUUGUCGCAUAUGAUCCUUGAGAUCUUGCCAUGAGGCAGAAGAAGGCAAUCCAGUGACCAUAACACGAUAGUCAGAGCGCCUGGAAGGUCCACGGCUUCCGCUGCUACCACUAUAACUGCUAUAACGGUCUCCGGGAGAUGAAUGUCUUCGCCCACCAUGUGCAAGCUCAACUCGUAAGCGACAUCCAUCAAAGUUAUACCCAUCACGACCACGAAUAGCAUCUUCAGCAUCACGAGCAUCUUCAAACUCAACAAAAGCAUAGCCAGGAGGUCUCGGUGGGAUUUUCAAAUCAACAUCAACAAUAGGCCCAUACUUGUAAAACAAAUCUUUUACUUCUCUCUGACGAAUAUCUCCCGGAAGAUUACCUAUAUAAAGAGUGCGGCUAGCACGGCUGCUCAUUUUUUCUCCUGAUAUAAUUACUCAAGAAAAAGAAAAAUUAUACAAAAAGAGAAUUGAUUUUCCCUUCUUUUUUCUGCGAAGAUUAGAUUAGAGAGAAUGGAGAGAUAUUGAAGACUUUGGAUUCUUCUGGAACGCUAAAAAG